GAUGAACGCUAGCGGCAGGCUUAAUACAUGCAAGUCGUGGGGCAGCAUGAGUAGCAAUACUUUAUGGCGACCGGCAAACGGGUGCGGAACACGUACACAACCUUCAGAUAAGUGGGGAAUAGCCCAGAGAAAUUUGGAUUAAUACCCCGUAACAUAUAGAGUAGGCAUCUUCUUUAUAUUAUAGCUUCGGCGCUUAUUGCUUGGUGUGCGUCUGAUUAGGUAGUUGGCGGGGGAACGGCCCACCAAGCCUACGAUCAGUAGCUGAUGUGAGAGCAUGAUCAGCCACACGGGCACUGGGACACGGGCCCGACUCCUGCGGGAGGCAGGAGGAAGGAAGAUUGGAGAAUGGGCGAGAGCCUGAUCCAGCCAUGGCGCGUGAAGGAUUAAGGUCCUCUGGAUUGUAAACUUCUUGUAUUUGGGACGAAAAAAGAGAAUUCUGUCCCACUUGGCGGUACCAAGUGAAUAAGCACCGGCUAACUCCGUGCCAGCAGCCGCCGUAAGAC
rnacentral:rRNA from 1 species